rnacentral:rRNA from 1 species
AGAGUUUGAUCCUGGCUCAGGACGAACGCUGGCGGCAUGCCUAACACAUGCAAGUCGAACGGAGAAAGUUCAACACCAAGUAUUUCAUCCGCUGAAGUGUAGCGGUAAAAAUUGCGAAGCAAUUUUUACUACGCAUUAAAAGCAUGAACUAACACGGUGGUUGAAGUAUUAGGUGUUGAACUUUCUUAGUGGCGAACGGGUGAGUAACGCGUGGGCAACCUGCCCUCUAGAUGGGGACAACAUCCCGAAAGGGGUGCUAAUACCGAAUGUGACAGCAAUCUCGCAUGAGGAUGCUGUGAAAGAUGGCCUCUAUUUAUAAGCUAUCGCUAGAGGAUGGGCCUGCGUCUGAUUAGCUAGUUGGUGGGGUAACGGCCUACCAAGGCGAUGAUCAGUAGCCGGUCUGAGAGGAUGAACGGCCACAUUGGGACUGAGACACGGCCCAGACUCCUACGGGAGGCAGCAGUGGGGAAUCUUCCGCAAUGGGCGAAAGCCUGACGGAGCAAUGCCGCGUGAGUGAUGAAGGAAUUCGUUCCGUAAAGCUCUUUUGUUUAUGACGAAUGUGCAGAUUGUGAAUAAUGAUCUGUAAUGACGGUAGUAAACGAAUAAGCCACGGCUAACUACGUGCCAGCAGCCGCGGUAAUACGUAGGUGGCGAGCGUUGUCCGGAAUUAUUGGGCGUAAAGAGCAUGUAGGCGGUUUUUUAAGUCUGGAGUGAAAAUGCAGGGCUCAACCCCGUAUGGCUCUGGAUACUGGAAGACUUGAGUGCAGGAGAGGAAAGGGGAAUUCCCAGUGUAGCGGUGAAAUGCGUAGAUAUUGGGAGGAACACCAGUGGCGAAGGCGCCUUUCUGGACUGUGUCUGACGCUGAGAUGCGAAAGCCAGGGUAGCGAACGGGAUUAGAUACCCCGGUAGUCCUGGCCGUAAACGAUGGGUACUAGGUGUAGGAGGUAUCGACCCCUUCUGUGCCGGAGUUAACGCAAUAAGUACCCCGCCUGGGGAGUACGUCCGCAAGGAUGAAAC